rnacentral:rRNA from 1 species
AGCUUGCUCUUAUGAAGUUAGCGGCGGACGGGUGAAUAACACGUGGGUAACCUGCCCAUAAGACUGGGAUAACUCCGGGAAACCGGGGCUAAUACCGGAUAACAUUUUGAACUGCAUGGUUCGAAAUUGAAAGGCGGCUUCGGCUGUCACUUAUGGAUGGACCCGCGUCGCAUUAGCUAGUUGGUGAGGUAACGGCUCACCAAGGCAACGAUGCGUAGCCGACCUGAGAGGGUGAUCGGCCACACUGGGACUGAGACACGGCCCAGACUCCUACGGGAGGCAGCAGUAGGGAAUCUUCCGCAAUGGACGAAAGUCUGACGGAGCAACGCCGCGUGAGUGAUGAAGGCUUUCGGGUCGUAAAACUCUGUUGUUAGGGAAGAACAAGUGCUAGUUGAAUAAGCUGGCACCUUGACGGUACCUAACCGGAAAGCCACGGCUAACUACGUGCCAGCAGCCGCGGUAAUACGUAGGUGGCAAGCGUUAUCCGGAAUUAUUGGGCGUAAUGCGCGCGCAGGUGG